rnacentral:rRNA from 1 species
UACGUAGGUGGCAAGCGUUGUCCGGAAUUAUUGGGCGUAAAGCGCGCGCAGGCGGCUUUCUAAGUCCAUCUUAAAAGUGCGGGGCUUAACCCCGUGAUGGGAUGGAAACUGGGAAGCUGGAGUAUCGGAGAGGAAAGUGGAAUUCCUAGUGUAGCGGUGAAAUGCGUAGAGAUUAGGAAGAAGACCGGUGGCGAAGGCGACUUUCUGGACGACAACUGACGCUGAGGCGCGAAAGCGUGGGGAGCAAACAGG